UAUAUUUUGAUGUAUGAUGCAUAAAAGAUUUUGAUUCUUUAAGAAAUAGUUUAAUUCUAUUAAAUAUAA
rnacentral:tRNA from 1 species